UACGUAGGGUGCGAGCGUUAAUCGGAAUUACUGGGCGUAAAGCGUGCGCAGGCGGUUCGUUAAGUUCGUUGUGAAAGCCCCGGGCUCAACCUGGGAACUGCAAUGGAAACUGGCGGGCUUGAGUGUGGCAGAGGGGGGUGGAAUUCCGCGUGUAGCAGUGAAAUGCGUAGAGAUGUGGAGGAACACCGAUGGCGAAGGCAGCCUCCUGGGCCAACACUGACGCUCAUGCACGAAAGCGUGGGGAGCAAACAGG
rnacentral:rRNA from 1 species